AGAGUUUGAUCAUGGCUCAGGAUGAACGCUAGCGGCAGGCUUAAUACAUGCAAGUCGAGGGGUAACAGGGUCUUCGGACCGUUGUGGACCGGCGCACGGGUGCGUAACACGUAUGCAACCUACCUUUAACAGGAGGAUAGCCCCGAGAAAUCGGAAUUAAUACUCCAUAACAUUAUAGAUUGGCAUCGAUUUAUGAUAAAAGUUCAGGCGGUUAAAGAUGGGCAUGCGCGACAUUAGUUAGUUGGUGAGGUAAUGGCUUACCAAGACGAAGAUGUCUAGGGGUUCUGAGAGGAUGAUCCCCCACACUGGUACUGAUUUUCGGACCAGACUCCUACGGGAGGCAGCAGUAAGGAAUAUUGGGCAAUGGACGCAAGUCUGACCCAGCCAUGCCGCGUGCAGGAUGACAGCCUUAUG
rnacentral:rRNA from 1 species